rnacentral:rRNA from 1 species
AAAUUGAAGAGUUUGAUCAUGGCUCAGAUUGAACGCUGGCGGCAGGCCUAACACAUGCAAGUCGAACGGUAACAGGAAGAAGCUUGCUUCUUUGCUGACGAGUGGCGGACGGGUGAGUAAUGUCUGGGAAGCUGCCUGAUGGAGGGGGAUAACUACUGGAAACGGUAGCUAAUACCGCAUAACGUCGCAAGACCAAAGAGGGGGACCUUCGGGCCUCUUGCCAUCGGAUGUGCCCAGAUGGGAUUAGCUAGUAGGUGGGGUAACGGCUCACCUAGGCGACGAUCCCUAGCUGGUCUGAGAGGAUGACCAGCCACACUGGAACUGAGACACGGUCCAGACUCCUACGGGAGGCAGCAGUGGGGAAUAUUGCACAAUGGGCGCAAGCCUGAUGCAGCCAUGCCGCGUGUAUGAAGAAGGCCUUCGGGUUGUAAAGUACUUUCAGCGGGGAGGAAGGGAGUAAAGUUAAUACCUUUGCUCAUUGACGUUACCCGCAGAAGAAGCACCGGCUAACUCCGUGCCAGCAGCCGCGGUAAUACGGAGGGUGCAAGCGUUAAUCGGAAUUACUGGGCGUAAAGCGCACGCAGGCGGUUUGUUAAGUCAGAUGUGAAAUCCCCGGGCUCAACCUGGGAACUGCAUCUGAUACUGGCAAGCUUGAGUCUCGUAGAGGGGGGUAGAAUUCCAGGUGUAGCGGUGAAAUGCGUAGAGAUCUGGAGGAAUACCGGUGGCGAAGGCGGCCCCCUGGACGAAGACUGACGCUCAGGUGCGAAAGCGUGGGGAGCAAACAGGAUUAGAUACCCUGGUAGUCCACGCCGUAAACGAUGUCGACUUGGAGGUUGUGCCCUUGAGGCGUGGCUUCCGGAGCUAACGCGUUAAGUCGACCGCCUGGGGAGUACGGCCGCAAGGUUAAAACUCAAAUGAAUUGACGGGGGCCCGCACAAGCGGUGGAGCAUGUGGUUUAAUUCGAUGCAACGCGAAGAACCUUACCUGGUCUUGACAUCCACAGAACUUUCCAGAGAUGGAUUGGUGCCUUCGGGAACUGUGAGACAGGUGCUGCAUGGCUGUCGUCAGCUCGUGUUGUGAAAUGUUGGGUUAAGUCCCGCAACGAGCGCAACCCUUAUCCUUUGUUGCCAGCGGUCCGGCCGGGAACUCAAAGGAGACUGCCAGUGAUAAACUGGAGGAAGGUGGGGAUGACGUCAAGUCAUCAUGGCCCUUACGACCAGGGCUACACACGUGCUACAAUGGCGCAUACAAAGAGAAGCGACCUCGCGAGAGCAAGCGGACCUCAUAAAGUGCGUCGUAGUCCGGAUUGGAGUCUGCAACUCGACUCCAUGAAGUCGGAAUCGCUAGUAAUCGUGGAUCAGAAUGCCACGGUGAAUACGUUCCCGGGCCUUGUACACACCGCCCGUCACACCAUGGGAGUGGGUUGCAAAAGAAGUAGGUAGCUUAACCUUCGGGAGGGCGCUUACCACUUUGUGAUUCAUGACUGGGGUGAAGUCGUAACAAGGUAACCGUAGGGGAACCUGCGGUUGGAUCACCUCCUUA